UUUCCUCCGGGUGCUCCGGUUUCCCCCACAAGUCCAAAGACAUGCGGUAUAGGGGAAUUGGACAACCGAUGUCCAUGUCAAAAGAGCGUCUAUUCUUCAAGCUCUUUUUACUUACCUUGGUGAGGAUGAGGCAUGCCUGGUGAAAGAAUACAUGGGCAACCAAAAAGAAGAAUUUUUGAAGGACCUGACAAACACCACCAUGGCCAUAUGUGUCAUCAAAAAGGAAAGAGGAGAUUAUGAGGACAUUGGCAUCGUUGUGGAUGGAACAGUGAUUAUUGAACAGAUAAAAUCUGUUGCACAAGCCUGUGCACUGAUGUUGGGGGCGAUUUAUGUGCUUGAUUUGGCCUACCCAAAAGAACUCAAAUACUAUUACGAGUUUGCCCAAAAAGUACUUGUGCAAAUGAACUCUGACAAGCUCUGCUCAAAGGCUCUCAUACUGGAAAACAGUGUGAUACUGUAAUUUUAAGCAUUGAAGUGUUGAUAAAUGCUCAACAACCAAAUGUAUAUCAUAUACAAAUUGCAGUUUAGUGUAGGAAUUGUUUAAUAAGUGAAUUCAGUUUUCUUUGUGUGCAAAAUUAAUUAGCUGUAGGAACUUGUUUUAAAUGGUGUGUGUGUGUGUGUGUGUGUGUGUGUGUGAGAGAGCAUGUGCAUUCUAUAAACUUUGUAUUUAUUCCAUUUCAUACAACUUGUAGUUGCUCAAUAUGUUAAUGAGUUAUUUUUUUAAGUUAAUUAGUUGAUUAUUUUGUGUAUUGGGGUGUGUGUGUCAUAAGGAAUGCAGUUUGCUCUAAGACUUCAUACAGUUUUCUUUUAUGUGUUGGUUUAAAUUAAAUGUGCUGUACAAACUGUUUAUUGUUUUAUGGUGUGCUGCUAAAGCAUUUAUUGGCAGUGAUUUAUGUUUUGUUAAAAAAAUGCAUCUUAAAAAGUCAUUAAAAUGAA